GGGAGGGCCGUUUUACCACGGUUUGCUUCAUGACUGGGGUAAAAGUCGUUACAAGGUUAGCCGUAGGGAACCUGUGGCUGGAUCACCUCCUU
rnacentral:rRNA from 1 species